GACACCUCAUUUCCUGUACUUUUUUGACUUCUUUUUUCUCCAAUAAUGUUUGGAGGCUCGCUCGUUGUUCAAAGACAAGUCAAAAACGAACAGAAAGCCUCCUCUUAAGGGGGCUUUUUUUAU
rfam:Vibrio cholerae O1 biovar eltor str. N16961 chromosome I, complete sequence.